rnacentral:rRNA from 1 species
GGAAUCUUCGGCAAUGGACGAAAGUCUGACCGAGCAACGCCGCGUGAGUGAAGAAGGUUUUCGGAUCGUAAAACUCUGUUGUUAGAGAAGAACAAGGGUGAGAGUAACUGUUCACCCCUUGACGGUAUCUAACCAGAAAGCCAGGGCUAACUACGUGCCCG